UAUAAAAAACCUAUUUUUAUUUGUUGUGCUGUUGAUAUUAAAUUGUUUUUCUAAUACUUAAUUAUUACUUUUUAUCUUUUUAUUAUAUUUUAACUAGAAACACAACAAUUACAAUAUGUACAACAACAACCACAAUCAGUGAACUUUCAACAAAUGUUUCUGCAAUCUAUGGAAGAAAUGUGUAAGAUUUUAGAUUGUAUUGAUUAUUAAACUUUUUAUUUGUUACUGUAAUACUCAUGUUUUAUUUAAUUUUUUAAAAUAUCACUUUACAUAGAAAAUGUUAAUAAAAUUGUUUUUUCUCUUUAGUUAAUAAUUUUUUAAAGAAGAUGGAGGAGCAAUCCUGUAUGAAAAUAUCUUUUACUUUAUAAAUUUAUAACUUGGUUCUUUCCAAAAAAUAAUUGAUUUAUGCAUACAUAUGGUGGUGGUAUACACAUCACCAUAUUAUGUAAACAUAUUGUUUUAUUUAAACAUAUAAAAGAAUUUAGUUUUUUUUAUUGUAAAGUUUCUUAUGUAUUAUGAAAUCAUAGAUUUUUUGAUUAUAUAUAGCCCAACACCAUCAUUGUCAAUGGCAGCAGCUGCCACAAGUCUUGCAACAAAAACAACAACAACAACAACAGCAUCAUCAUUAUCAUCUGCUACAAGUGCAGCUGCUGCUGAUUUGUGAUAUGAGGCUUUUAUAGCCUACAGGAGGAAUCAACCAGGACCCAUAUCCUACAGGGCCCAUAGGAUAUGGGUCUCAAUUAAUGGGGCAGAUCUCCCCUCUUUUCGUUUGGGGUGAAGGAGAAGAAAGGGGAGGGGGUGGGAGGGGGUGUUAC